GCAUCUCUCCGUUGCUAAUCGCUUCUUUUCUCUCUUUUUUUUAAAAAAUUGUUGCUUGAUAAACAAAGAGACCAUAUUUUGAAACAAAAAUGGCACGCCAACUUGUUGUUCUUGCUUUGGUUUUGGUUUUGAUUUUUCUCGCCGGAAUCGUUUCUACCGACGCCUCAUCCGCCAGUGGCAGCCCUGCAAGUGCACCAGCUGGAGCUUCUACAGUUGGCAGUACCGCUAGUUCCUCCCCUACUUCUCAGGCUACCAAUCCAGGUCUUAGCGAUGGUAUCCCUAUUGAUGACCCAUAGAAUGAUUGUCAACGAAAUGUCGAUAAAUCAUUAAACAAAUUGCAAUUUAAAAGAAUGGUGAGGUUUUGGAAAAUAAAUAAUUAGUUCUAUAAAUAGAAUGUUAUGUUUUUCAUUAAGUUUAUGAACUGAUUUUCAUAUAUCUCAUUUCUCUUACAACAUUAUACUCUUAACAAAUCUACUAAAACGAGUAGAUUGGUGAACUGUGUUUUUGUUUUUUUGUGAAUUAUGAGAGGAUGGUAAAGCCAUAACAACGACACAACUAAUGCAAUUUGAAUUUAGGCCAUAUCUAGAGCGGUGAAUACCUUAACCAUAAGUCAACACACUUAAUUUGAUGAACUUUGUUUUAAGUAUUAAUUAUAAUAGUAGUUAAAGCAUUAAUUGAGUAAAUAAAGAAAGAAGCCAUCAGUGUUUGGCAAUGGCAGUUGGAAUUUGGUAUUUGUAAUGGUCCCAUUAUGUAAUAAUUUUUAUAUUAAGAAAAAAAACAUAUAAAUAACGAGAUCUGGCCAAACUACUAAUAAAUAAUAAAGAAUAUAUCACUACCAAACUUUAAAUAAUGUUGAUCUUCUCACCCCAGCAGUAGCCAAGGUUGUAGCCAUGCCAUUGUAUUUCAUAAAAACCAAUGUGAAUUUAACACAAACCAGUGGUGUCACAACUCCAUACCGCUUCCUUAAACUCCUCCAACGUGAAAGAUUACUCGAGUUUAACAGCAUCUUUCUCAAAUAUUUUCUUAAACUUCAAAUCCAUAUCCAUGAUCCAUUUUCACAAUCAGCAGCUAAAGUGAUUACUGAACGAUUUGAACAUUUUUCCUUUAACAACUUUGUGUCAUUGCACCACGAGAAAUUAUUGUUUCCUUUCUCUUUUUUUCGGUUUUACUCUAUAUCUAGUUUUUAAUUUUAAAACUUAUACAACAACAUUUUACUCUCCUCUAAAAUGUCACAUCACAUUUUACAAGCCAUUUAAUAGUUAAAUUAAGGGCUUGUAUAAUGGCAAUGCUUGAUUGAUUUCAUAUAGGUAGCUUUGAGAUGUAAUUAGAAUGUUUUGAAAUUUGGGUCGACUUUAAAAUGGGAGACAUUGUUUGAGGAUGUGUAGUGCAAUUAACAGAAAAUUUUAAGAAUAAUUUAUGAAAGGAGAUAUAUAUCAAAUUUAUACAUAAACUUUGGUCCAAUGUGCAAUUUGUUACAUCAACUUUAAUUAUACACCUAGACCUCGAUAUGUGGUUCUAAUAUAUAAAUGAAAGUUUGAUUUUGAUUCAAUUAUACGUAUUUAAAAAAAGAAUACAUACAUUUAUUUUCAUAUGUAUGCCAUUACACAUUAGAUCAAAAUAAAUGUAUUAUUUGAUAUUUACACCAUUAGUAAUGAUAUAAAAUGAAAUCAGUUUAAUCUAUUUUUGGCCAUUCUAAUAAUUAACAUUCACCAAUCCCAAUUUUCAAUAAUUAUAGGAUUGCCGAACUUAAAAAUAGUAUGAUUAGUGGCUAAGUUUAAAAUUAAAAGAAAAUUAAUUGCCCUUAUAUUCGGUAAUUUACUAGUAUUAAUACGCUAAUCAUGAUAACAAACAUAUUGCAUCUCUCCAUUGCUAAUCACUUCUUUUGUCUAUUUUUUUUAAACACAGAGACCACAUUUUGAAACAAAAAUGGCAUGCCAACUUGUUGUUCUUGCUUUGGUUUUGAUUUUUCUCGCCGGUGUCGUUUCUACCGACGCUUCAUCUGCCAGUGGCAGCACUGCAAGUGCACCAGCUGGAGCUUCUACAGUUGGCAGUACUGCUAGUUCCUCCCCUACUUCUCAGGCUACCAAUCCAGGUCUUAGCGAUGGUAUCCCUAUUGAUGACCCAUAGAAUGAUUGUCAACGAAAUGUCAAUAAAUCAUUAAACAAAUUACAAUUUAAAAGAAUGGUGAGGUU
rnacentral:lncRNA from 1 species